rnacentral:tRNA from 1 species
GCCGAAGUGGCGGAACUGGUAGACGCGCACGACUCAAAAUCGUGUGGUUGUAAAAUCAUGAGGGUUCGAGUCCCUCCUUCGGCA